rnacentral:snRNA from 1 species
AUGCUCACUUCAGCAGCACAUAUACUAAAAUUGGAAUGAUACAGAGAGAUUAGCAUGGCCCUUGUGCAAGGAUGACAUGCAAAUUCAUGAAGCAUUCCAUAUUUUU